CUGAGUGUGCGGUUGUUCAAGCCCCCCGCGUCCGGAAAGAAGAUGGAGCCAGGGGAGGUGUCAGGGAUCACAAGAGAUAAUGGAGUCAGUCAGCGCCUCGCUACUUCGCUAGACAUCGCUAACAGGAGGACGUGGGCACGUGGCAGUGGUGCUGGUGCACCUCUAUACCAUCCUCAGCGGCGUGCAUAUGGCCUGCUGCGGGGGAACGCGGCGUCGCGCGGCGGAGAUACACCGCCAUCACCUUCGACAUACGCGGCGCUCCACGGGGCGUGCGUCGGUCACGGGCUCCACCGAGGGCCGGGGACGUCGUCGCCGUCUGCGGAUGUGUCGCAGAGAACAUCAGGCCGCGUGACAUCCUCCGCGUCGGAUCCUCAUCUGGGGCACCAAUUGUCGGACCUGCAGUUGAUAUACAGUGUGUUUGGUUAG
rnacentral:misc_RNA from 1 species